UUCCAGUUUCACCAGGAUAGAGGGGCGAU
rnacentral:sRNA from 1 species